rnacentral:misc_RNA from 1 species
AACGCACCUUGCGCUCCCUGGUAUUCCGGGGAGCAUGCCUGUUUGAGUGUCAUGGUAUUCUCAACCUUCAUAACUUUUGUUAUCGAAGGCUUGGACUUGGAGGUUGUGCUGGCUUCUAGUUAAGUCGGCUCCUCUUAAAUGUAUUAGCGUGAGUGUAACGGAUCGCUUCGGUGUGAUAAUUAUCUGCGCCGUGGUCGUGAAGUAACAUAAGCUUGCGCUUCUAACCGUCCUUCAGUUGGACAAUUACUUUGACAUCUGACCUCAAAUCAGGUAGGACUACCCGCUGAACUUAA